rnacentral:rRNA from 1 species
CAGCCGCCGCGGUAACACGUAGGUGGCAAGCGUUGUCCGGAAUUAUUGGGCGUAAAGCGCGCGCAGGUGGUUUAAUAAGUCUGAUGUGAAAGCCCACGGCUCAACCGUGGAGGGUCAUUGGAAACUGUUAAACUUGAGUGCAGGAGAGAAAAGUGGAAUUCCUAGUGUAGCGGUGAAAUGCGUAGAGAUUAGGAGGAACACCAGUGGCGAAGGCGGCUUUUUGGCCUGUAACUGACACUGAGGCGCGAAAGCGUGGGGAGCAAACAGGAUUAGAUACCCCCGUAGUCCCUGUCUCUUAUAA